GAUGAACGCUGGCGGCGUGCCUAAUACAUGCAAGUCGAGCGAACAGACGAGGAGCUUGCUCCUCUGACGUUAGCGGCGGACGGGUGAGUAACACGUGGAUAACCUACCUAUAAGACUGGGAUAACUUCGGGAAACCGGAGCUAAUACCGGAUAAUAUAUUUAACCGCAUGGUUCAAUAGUGAAAGACGGUUUUGCUGUCACUUAUAGAUGGAUCCGCGCCGCAUUAGCUAGUUGGUAAGGUAACGGCUUACCAAGGCAACGAUGCGUAGCCGACCUGAGAGGGUGAUCGGCCACACUGGAACUGAAAAACGGUCCAGACUCCUACGGGAGGCAGCAGUAGGGAAUCUUCCGCAAUGGGCGAAAGCCUGACGGAGCAACGCCGCGUGAGUGAUGAAGGUCUUCGGAUCGUAAAACUCUGUUAUUAGGGAAGAACAAAUGCGUAAGUAACUAUGCACGUCUUGACGGUACCUAAUCAGAAAGCCACGGCUAACUACGUG
rnacentral:rRNA from 1 species